rnacentral:misc_RNA from 1 species
UUAACUUAUUAUAUAGUACUCAGACGACACUAAAUUUCAGAGUUUGGGGUUCUCUGGCAGGCGCGCCCCAGCCGAAACCGGGAGCCCGAAGGCGGCCUGCCAAAGCAACAAGAGUAAAUAACACAGGGUGGGAGGUCUACCCCGAAGGGCAUGAUCUCUGUAAUGAUCCUUCCGCUGGUUCACCAACGGAAA